UUGAACGCUGGCGGCAUGCUUUACACAUGCAAGUCGAACGGUAACAGGCCGCAAGGUGCUGACGAGUGGCGAACGGGUGAGUAAUGCAUCGGAACGUGCCCAGUCGUGGGGGAUAACUACUCGAAAGAGUAGCUAAUACCGCAUACGAUCUAUGGAUGAAAGCGGGGGACCGUAAGGCCUCGCGCGAUUGGAGCGGCCGAUGUCAGAUUAGGUAGUUGGUGGGGUAAAGGCUCACCAAGCCAACGAUCUGUAGCUGGUCUGAGAGGACGACCAGCCACACUGGGACUGAGACACGGCCCAGACUCCUACGGGAGGCAGCAGUGGGGAAUUUUGGACAAAGGGCGCAAGCCUGAUCCAGCAAUGCCGCGUGCAGGAAGAAGGCCUUCGGGUUGUAAACUGCUUUUGUACGGAACGAAACGGCUCUGGUUAAUACCCGGGGCUAAUGACGGUACCGUAAGAAUAAGCACCGGCUAACUACGUG
rnacentral:rRNA from 1 species